UGUGAAGAAGAGCUCCUCACAGAACA
rnacentral:piRNA from 1 species